rnacentral:lncRNA from 1 species
GGUGACAAUGGCAUUGUCCUCAUGGCAGUGUGCGGGCUGUGCCAGCGGGCAGACCAGGACCCCGACACCUUUGGCGAGACGUGCCGGCAGGACAGGCUCUGCAUCCACGAGAACUGCCUGUACCACGUCAAUGGCCUGUACCAGCACGGCGCUGCUGAUGAAGGUUUCUUUGGCUUCCUCCUCCCCGACAUUGAGCAGAAGCUGCAGCAAGUGGCACAGAAGACGUGCUGCAUUUGCCGGCAGCGGGGCGCCUCGGUCCGCUGCCAUCGCCGGAGAUGCAACCGCAUCUUCCACUUCCCCUGCGGCAGAGAACGGGGAUGUGUCUCCCAGUUUUACGGGGAGUUUAGGUGAGUGCAGGCACCCGCAGGGCUGCAGGAGGGACGGGGCAGGGGGCUGAGCUGACACCUCCAUCCAUCCCGCAGGUCCUUCUGCUGGCAGCACCGGCCAACGCAGCAGGUGCGCCCGCUGCCGCAGGAACACCCCCAGUGCGCAGUCUGCCUGGAGGCGGUGGAGGCACGUCCCACCUACAACACGCUGGUGUGUCCCGCCUGCACCAGCGCACGGUUCCAUCGCCAGUGCAUCCAGGUAUGCGGCACUGGCCUCAGACCGCAGCAUCGUCCCCG